rnacentral:lncRNA from 1 species
AUGAAAAGGCCUAAGGAGGUACCAGAUGCAACUGUUCAGGCUUCAGUGUUGCUGUUCUCCCUGGCUGAGCUCAGAAGAGGCCUGGUGAUCCCGUUUCCCAAGGAAGGAACUGCGGGUGCAGCUUGGCAGGGGAGAUGUCAAGGCCCAUCCCAAACUGCUGAUGGAUCCAAGACCCUUGGCUCUUUCUUUGGUGCGGCUGGUUUGGAGGCAACAUGGUGCAAUUUUGCACUGUGCCACAGGUCAUUUCUGAACAGAUGGACCAAGGCUCGCCACGGAGCAGCGUGUUUAUAACGGAGGAGCCGGGGCUGCCGCGGCAAACGGGGGCUCGUUCCCACGGGCUCUGCGUUGCUGGGCUUGCUAGAAACGGUCUGCAGGAGCGGGGCUGGCGUGAACGCCCCAUCUCUCAGUUCAGGCAGGUGAUUUUGAUCCGCCUUUUGUAUUUCGGUUCAUUCUGCUUGGCUAUGCAAAAGCCCACCUUGCAAAUGCUGUAUGUUUUGCUGGCAUUUAGAUGAAUCCUGUUAAUUUUGAGAGGCCAAACUGACAGCGGCCCGCGACGUUUGUGCUGGCUAAGCGGGCAGAGUGGAAGAGCACUUCUGCGCCGUGACCGAAGGCACAUCUGCUUUCCUUGAAUCCAGGUGCAGAAGUCAGUGCCCAGGAAAGGGAGGGAAGGGUCUUUCACCAAAAUGAUGGGAUCAUCGAGUGGCAAGGUGGGGUUUGCUCCCAUCCCGUGUCAUGCGCGGCGGCUCCGUUUUUCAGGCCGCCAGCUGCCGCUGCCAGGGGUGGCUUGGGAGUGGUUGGAGUAAGCAAAAGUUUGCGAUCAAAACAAAUGAAAAUAGCACAUCCUGUUAUGAUAACUGCCCGGGCGGGAUCAGUUUAUAUCUCGCAGGUAACUCGAGUUAAGCUGCAUCUAAAUGAAUAAUUGCACACCUGUACCAAAGAGACCAGACAACAUUAGCAAGUCCCCUGUGAAGCGGCUUUCCUGUGGGACCGGGAUAAAUGUUUCCUUUUGCCUGGUAAGGGGUGGCCCUGCGUGUUCAGCACAGAAACCCUUUCCGUCCUAGAGUACAAAAAUAGUCCUAGAGUACAAAAAUACAGUAGCAGAAACAAUAUCCAUCAAUCAUCUCUCAUUUAGAGAAGAUCGAGGGCUUGAGAAGAUCGGUUCCAGAGCUGGACAAAGUUUUAGGGCUGUGCCCAGGAGAGGGUGUUUCUCAGGCAGGGUCAUUCCUCUGUUAUUUCUCAGGUGCAUUUGUUCAACGGCAGUACUUAGGCUCACCAGGGAUUAUGUGUUACGAUAGUUUUGAGCCGAUCUCUUUCCUACAUGUCACACCCAGUGGUAGGUCACGUCCUGGUAACGCAACACGCGUGCCCUUUGGGGGCACUUCCCAUCCGCCUUCUCACCGGGCCUCUAUCCGCAGCAGUGGGAAAUGGCUAUCAAGCACGACGAUAACGCCAGCUGGUUUGCGUUUCCUUUUUGACCCCAGCCAGAAGGUUUCUUCUGCAGCCAAGCCUGGC